rnacentral:rRNA from 1 species
CCAUCCCGAACAGAGAAGUUAAGCCCUGCAGCGCCGAUGGUACUGGGGUUACUCCCGGGAGAGUAGGUCGCCGCCACAU